AUACGGAGGGUGCAAGCGUUAUCCGGAAUCAUUGGGUUUAAAGGGUCCGUAGGCGGACUAUUAAGUCAGAGGUGAAAUCCCACAGCUCAACUGUGGAACUGCCUUUGAUACUGGUAGUCUUGAGUUAUAUGGAAGUAGAUAGAAUGUGUAGUGUAGCGGUGAAAUGCAUAGAUAUUACACAGAAUACCGAUUGCGAAGGCAGUCUACUACGUAUAUACUGACGCUAAGGGACGAAAGCGUGGGGAGCGAACAGGAGUAGAAACCCUAGUAGUCC
rnacentral:rRNA from 1 species